rnacentral:rRNA from 1 species
UACGGAGGGGGCUAGCGUUGUUCGGAAUUACUGGGCGUAAAGCGCACGUAGGCGGCUUUGCAAGUUAGAGGUGAAAGCCCAGGGCUUAACCCUGGAAUUGCCUUUAAAACUGCAUCGCUAGAAUUGUGGAGAGGUAAGUGGAAUUCCGAGUGUAGAGGUGAAAUUCGUAGAUAUUCGGAAGAACACCGGUGGCGAAGGCGGCCUUCUGGACAGUGACUGACGCUGAGACGCGAAAGCGUGGGGAGCAAACAGG